AACGCAAAUGGCGCUCUCUGGUAUCCCGGGGAGCAUGCCUGUUUGAGAACCGUAGGAGAAAGUCAUUGGAAGGAUUCCGCAACGGUUUUCUUCUGGUGGAAUUGGAUUACCGGCGAGCUGUGCUUGCUCUGUGAUCCUAAAGACAUGUUUGUUGUUUGUGUAGGGUCGUGUGGGAAAGGACCCAUACCCUAAGGCGAGGAUAAGUAAGAAGGGGAGAGAGAGAGGCAGUUUUCUGCUUUUCUUGAAGCCCUUUCUCUUUUUCACGACAGCCGAUAGGGAUUUUUGGGAAAAAAAGGCCUUUUUCCACUCACACCCCGAAACAUGGUCUCAAAUCAGGCAAGAGAACCCGCUGAACUUAA
rnacentral:misc_RNA from 1 species